rnacentral:misc_RNA from 1 species
AUUGCACAUGAUGGUCAUAUCAAGGUAACUCCAUAUUCUUUUUCAAAUUCUGCUACCUCUUAUUGAUGAGCAAUAGGAGUUUGACAUUUUAAUGCCAAUUGGUUGUUUGAAAUAUGGAUUAUAAUUAAUUAUCAUUAAUAGCUUAUUCCUCAGUAUUUCAUUGUGUUUUUAUGCUGAAACUUUAGCAGUCCAGGUGUGAUGUAGGACAUUUGGAAGCAAGAAACUGAAUUUUAAAGCUUGUUGUAUUAGCUGUUAUUGCAACACUGUUUCGGCAAUUUUUCCAGAAGCUUUAGAGAUAGUUGAAUGUGUUUUGGUUUAAAACCAGACAAAGUAAACAAGAUUAUUGUGCUGCAAUAGCUACAAUUCAGGCUGAAAAUAGUGAUUUGAGCUGUAAAUUUAGGAGUAUUUAGUUCUGGUUGGAUGUAAUCUACAACAUAAUCUAGUUGUCACCCCACCUGUAUGCGUGUGUCAAUAUUCCUCUUAGUAGAUGCUUAAUUUUAAACUUAAGGUGAGUUGCUAUCUAGGCUUCCGUUGUGAUAGUUAUAAGGUUGAAGCUUAAUUUAUGUGAAUGUGGCAUUCUUAUAUCUAAGAGUAAUAAGAUGAGGCAGGGUGGGGCAUUAGUAACUGCUCAAUGGAGAGCAAAAAGGGCGCUAGAAAAGAGAAAAGAAGGUAGGCAAAGGAUUAGACAUUCAAGUGCAAUCACUUUCAUAAUUAACUCAUUUCAACUAAUCUAGUCUAGUUAUAGUCAUCUACAGAGAGAAUUUUCCUUCAUUUUAAUUUAGGGCUAUACUUUUAGGAUGCUACUUAUAGGGAAUGCCCCAGCAUUAUGCUCAUUUGGGAUCACAUCAUACAGAUGGGAAACACUUUACACUAGCUAUCACCUUCCACAACUCUUUUCUUUUAUCCAAGCUUGAGACUGGCUAUAUUAUGCAACCAUGGUUAUACAUUAUAGUCAUUCAAGGUGCAGCCAACUGCAUUGAAUUUUAUGUAUUGGAAAAUUAUUUAAUCUAUCAAUAGGAAAAACUAAUAUGCAAUUUUUUAAAUGAUAUUGUUUAGGAAUGGUGCAAUUAAAUUUCUUGCCUUAAAAAGCAUUAUUUCGGAUGGUAUGAGGGGAAGAGUCUUAGUUGCACUUAGAAAUGAAUUCCUUUCACAUGCUAUUGAAAGGUUUUAAGUACUUUAUAACCUCUAUCUUGAGUAUUUGGAGGAACAAGAGGUAAAAAUUGAAUGAUGGGGAAAUUAUAAGCCCUUAUCCUGCUUCAAGCUUUUUUACAGAAUCAAAAUAUCCUUAGAAGACUGAUGAAGGUUCACAUUCUUUCUGAACAGUUGACGGACUUUGGUCUUUCCA